rnacentral:lncRNA from 1 species
ACAGAAAUUUUCAAAAAAAGAACAAAAAGAUGACCAAUGUAAAAGUUAAAUAGCACAAAUGCCGUACUCUGAGGAAAGUUCAAAACGGAGUGCCCUAUUCAAAUGGCAAAAUCAAAAGCUCAAACACAUCAAGCUGAUGGAUAACGAAUGUCGUAUUCCUGACUUGGUGCAGGCAUUUUCUUAUGUAGAAAACCCUGGUUUUACAGCUAUUUAAAGUUCUCAAUUGUAUGAGAGUCGAAUAAUAUUUUAUUAAAUUGACAGCGAAAUGUGAACAAAACAAACAGACAAGAAAAGAAAAAAUGUCAAAAAUAAGGUACAACAGGCAACAUUAUAUUAAAAUAAAUAUGCCAAAAGAGAAUAAAACAAACAGGAAUAUAGUAAAGCACAUUAUCAAAAACGGAAGAAAAGAAAACACAAAUUUACCAUUUACCACAAUAACACUAUGACGGAGUGGAUAAAUUCCGGUCAAGUCAAUGAAUAUUACCAAAACUAAACUAAUUUACAGUACAACUAAUAAUUUGCAAAGACAAAUAAAAGACAUAUAUAACACUUUUUAUUAAGAUGAUAAACAAUAAAAUCCAUUCUUCAAGACCA